ensembl:lncRNA
AGAGAAUUCAGAGCACAGUUCCUAGUUCCUGACCUCUGGUGUGCACCUGUGCGCACAUUCUCAGGAAGCUCCCAUGUUGCCAGGGAUCACAACAACAGUGGGACAAAACAUCGCAGUGGUCUAGAAUCAACUCAGCACAGCUAGAAGUGUCAACACGACUUGAGCAUUGAAGAUGUUGCGAUUGCUGUUUCUGUGUUUGAUUGUGACUCUGCAAGGAGCUGCUGGUACGUAUCACAUGUUCUCACCUUCCCACAAUGCUCUGGCAGCAGACACUGAGACACUGACAAAGAUCUAAUCACACAGAUCACCUUUUUAUUGUUUUUAUGCCUGUAUGUGUUCCAUACGAGAAAUAUACACCGUCUCUCUCUGAGUCCUAUAGCUUCCAGGGGUAGCAGAAUAUUAAGAGGAAAACUGCUUAGAAGAACCUAGGCUGAUACUUAAGAUAGCCUGCAAAGUUCUGUCAUACUUUCCAGGUCUAUGCCCAAACAGUUCCAGCUUCUAAUUUAAAAAAUGAAUCUCUCCAGAAAUAAGUCGCUCACUGUUGUCUCCUGUUAUAGACCCCUCUCAGCUCCCAGCUGUGCUCUGGACUCCAUAUGUGAAUUGAUUGCCCCCCAUCUAUCUUCAGAGUUCAUUCUGUUAGGUGACGGAAACUGGGAUAUGCUUAACAACCCGGCAGUCCUACAAUCUAAACUAGAUGCCCUCAAUCUCACACAAAUGAUCAAGGAACCCACCAGGUACAACCCUAAAUCUGUAAACAUGGGCACCCUCAUAGAUAUUAUCCUCACCAGGAUCUCAGUGAUCACUGCCUCAUUGCCUGCAUCCGCCAUGGGUCCGUGGUCAAACAACCACCACUCAUUACUGUCAAACGCUCCCUAAAAAAACCUCUGUGAGCAGGCCUUUCUAAUCGACCUGGCCUGGGUAUACGGGAAAGAUAUUGACCUCAUCCCAUCAGUCGUUCUUUAAAAGUAAUUUCCUCACCAUCCUAAAUAAACAUGCCCCUUCAAAACAAUGUAGAACUAAGAACAGAUAAAGCCCUUGGUUCACUCCAGACCUGACUGCCCUCGACCAGCACAAAAACAUCCUGUGGCGGACUGCACUAGCAUCGAAUAGUCACCGCGAUAUGCAACUUUUCAGGGAAGUCAGGAAUCAAAACACGCACUCAGGCCGGCAAGCGAAGGCUAGCUUAUUCAAACAGAAAUUUGCAUCCUGUAGCUCUAACUCCAAAAAGUUUUGGGACACUUUAAGGCCACGGAGAACAAGAGCACCUCCUCCCAGCUGCCCACUGCACUGAGUCUAGGUAGUACUGUCACCACCAAUAAAUCCACGAUAAUCGGGAAUUUAAAUAAGCAUUUCUCUACGGCUGGCCAUGCUUUCAUCCUGGCUACCCCAACCCCGGCCAACAGCUCCACACCCCCCGCAGCUACUUUCCCAAGCCUCCCCAGCUUCUCCUUCACCCAAAUCCAGAUAGCAGAUGUUCUGAAAGAGCUGCAAAACUUGGUCCCCUACAAAUCAGCUGGGAUAGACAAUCUGGACCCUCUCUUUCUAAAAUUAUCCGCCGCCAUUGUUGCAACCCCUAUUACCAGUCUGUUCAACCUCUCUUUCCUUUCAUCUGCGAUCCCUACAGAUUGGAAAGCAGCCGCGUCAUCCCCUUCUUCAAAGGGGGUGACAAUCUAGACCCAAACUGUUAUAGACCUAUAUCCAUCCUGCCCUGCCAUUCUAAAGUCUUCAAAAGCCAAGUUAAUAAACAGAUCAUUGACCCUUUCGAAUCCCACUGUACCUUCUCUGCUGUACAAUCCGGUUUCCGAGCUGGUUACGGGUACACCUCAACAAUGCUCAAGGUACUAAACGAUAUGAUAACCGCUAUCGAUAAAAGACAGUACUGUAGAGCCGUCUUCAUCGACCUGGCCAAGGCUGUCGACUCUGUCAAUCACCACAUUCUUAUUCUUAUCGGCAGACUCAACAGCCUUGGUUUCUCAAAUGACUGCCUCGCCUGGUUCAACAACUACUUCUCAGACAGAGUUCAGUGUGUCAAAUCGGAGGGCCUGUUGUCCGGACCUCUGGCAUUCUCUAUGGGGGUAUGACAGGGUUCAAUUCUUGGGCCGACUCUUUUCUCUGUAUAUAUCACUGAUGUCGCUCUUGCUGCGGGUGAUUCCCUGAUCCACCUCUAUGCAGACUACACCAUUCUGUAUACAUCUGGCCCUUCUUUGGGCACUGUGUUAACUCACCUCCAAGCGAGCUCCAAUGCCAUACAACACUCCUUCCGUGGCCUGCAACUGCUCUUAAACGCUAGUAAAAUUAAAUGCAUGCUUUUCAAACGUUCGCUGCUCGCACCUGCCCACCAGCCCAGUAUCACUACUCUGGGCAGUUCUGACUUAGAAUAUGUGGACAACUACAAAUACCUAGGUGUCUGGCUAGACUGCAAACUCGCCGUCCAGACUCAUAUUAAACAUCUCCAAUCCAAAAUCAAAUCUAGAAUCGGCUUCCUUUUUCGCAACAAAACCUCCUUUACUCACACCGCCAAACAUACCCUCGUAAAACUGACUAUCCUACAGAUCCUCGACUUCGGCGAUGCCAUUUACAAAAUAGCCUCCAACACUCUACUCAGCAAACUGGAUGUGGUCUAUCACAGUGCCAUCCGUUUUGUCACCAAAGCCCCUUAUACCACCCACCACUGCGACCUGUAUGCUCUAGUCGGCUGGCCCUCGCUACAUAUUCGUCGCCAGACCCACUGGCUCCAGGUCAUCUAUAAGUCUAUGCUAAGUAAAUCUCCGCCAUAACUCCACUCACUGGUCACGAUAACAACACUCACCCGUGGCACGCGCUCCAGCAGGUAUAUCUCACCGGUCAUCCCCAAAGCCAACACCUCUUUGGCUGCCUUUCCUUCCAGUUCUCUGCUGCCAAUGACUGGAACGAAUUGCAAAAAUCACUGAAGCUGGAGACUAUUCCCCUCACUAACUUUAACCAUCAGCUAUCUGAGCAGCUAACUGAUCGCUGCAGCUGUACAUAACCCAUCUGUAAAUAGCCCACCCAAUCUACCUACCUCAUCCCCAUAUUGUUUUUAUUUACUUUUCUGAUCUUUUUCACACCAAUAUUUCUAUUUACACAUCAUCAUCUACACAUCUAUCACUCCAGUGUUAAUUUGCUAAAUUGUAAUUACUUCGCCACUAUGGCCUAUUUAUUGCCUUGCGAGGGCGCCAUUUGCACACACUGUAUAUAGACUUUCUUUUUUUCUAUUGUGUUAUUGACUGUACGCUUGUUUAUUCCAUGUGUAACUCUGCGUUGUUGUUUCUGUCACACUGCUUUGCUUUAUCUUGGCCAGGUCACAGUUGUAAAUGAAAACUUGUUCUCAACUAGCCUACCUGGUUAAAUAAAGGUGAAAUAUAAAAAUUAAAGUAUAUGUUUAGGAAAGAAUACAUAUACAUUAUAUAAACCACAGUUCAACAUAAAGAAGAUAUGAACCUGUAUAUGCUACAGUAGUGUUUUACUAUCUAUCUAAAGGUGUAGUUAGUUAUUUCCACAAAACUCUGAAACUGGUAAUAUUAAGAUGGCUACCUUUACCAUGAGCUAAAUGCCCUAGCCACAGAAGUAUGGAGUUCAUGAGUGAGUAUAUCAUUGAAUGGAUGGCAGCUCAAUCAUUCUGUAUAUCCCACAGUAGGAGUUCAUAGGAGAGUAGCUCUGCUCCCGUAUAGUGCAGAGAUGUAACGAAUAACCUUAGUGAUGUACAGUAAGAAGCUGCUGUGAGUUAAUCUGGUCCCAUCCUCCUGUCACGGUAGUUAAAAGAAGAGGUUCUCAAUCAGAGACGACAGACAGCUGUCCCUGAUUGAGAACCCUACCCGGCCAAAACAUAGAAAUACAAAUAAUAGAACAUAGAAUACCCACCCCAAAUCACACCCUGGGCGUGACACCUCCCCAUCUCUAUUCCCAUACAGCUUCCUCAGAAGAGAGUGAAGGAUCAGCAGACGUAGCAGGUAUGGAAUACAUCUUCAUCUGGAAACCAAAGGGGACAAAAUCACAUGUGGCAUGAAAUUUUCAUAAAUUCAGAAACAUUUUCAUAAAUUUGACAAAAGUGAUGAUUAUGUUUAGGAGUACCGUGAUGAUUCGAUAAUGUUCCAUGAGUGAACCCUCAAAUGAAGCACUGCAAUAGAACUACUGCUAAUCUUUAAAUGUAAUACAAGCUACUUUAUAUUGAUGCUGACUGGGCUUUUCCCUCUUCCUCUAUUCUGAAUAUCCCACAGACGGAGACGAUGAAGAUCUAUUCAAGCAAAACGUGAUCCCAAAUCUCAGGAAUGAUUACGUGGUUAUCGAACCUGAAACAAAUGAUAUUGUGGACACAAACAAGGCAACAGGAGAAAAAGUAGGGGAAGAUGGAUUUACUACCAUUGUCAUCAUCGUAGCCGUGAGUGUGGUGGCACUGUCAAUCGCAGUGAUAGUAGCCAUAGUGCUGGUCCGGCGCCGCAUGCACAACCGACCACAAGGGAUCUACUCAGUGCCUACAGAACAGGGAAUGAAAGGAACGGUCUAACCACAAGAUGAGCUCCAGUCCAAUUGGACACCUGCAGGGGAGGAGCUCUACAACACACUGACCUUUGACUCAGGAAGGGAACACUUUCCACCCCAGCCUGCUCUUACUGAACCACUCCCUACUGCUCUCCUCUCUGGGACCAUCUGUUACUGUGUCAUGGGUCCCCUCCAAAGCCAGUGUAACUUAGUUUCCUAUAUUUGGUCUGUUGUUCAUUUUUGUGCCACAUAUCUCAAUGUAUGUGUGUAUAUUUAAAAGGGCAUUCUGCAGUUGCUAAAUCCAUUUCUGGAUGUACUCAUUGAUUCUUGAAUAAUAUAUAUGCCUCAGUUCAACUGUCGUGCCCCAUCAGAACCCAAAACAUAAGCUUGUUUUAUGCCAAUGUUAGCAAACAAAGUAUGUUUAAACAAAUGCUAUAUAGCCUCAAAACAUGGUUAAAACUAUGAUUUUGAUAUCACGGAUAGUCAGUCUUUGCAUCCAUAGCUCAUAGCCUAUGAAUUUGAGAAUGGUUAUAUUUCUCUGGCCCCAUCCCUCAGUUUUUUACCAAAAUAGGGAGAGAACGCUUUAUUGUUUCAACUACGGAUUAUCCCUUUAUGCUUGGGACACAUAGCAACAUUUGGAACCUAAGUUUUGUCAUUGGAUUCUAUUGAAAAACCCUGAAGCCAAUGAAUGUGACCAAAUGUGACAAACUCCUUUUGUCCAAUGGCAUAUUUUUCAAGAAAAACAAGUAUUGCUAAAAGUCAUUUGCAAUUGUUCCGACAGGUUUCUCCGCUCCUUCACUAAACUAAACUGUAUUCAGAGUUGAUUUGGUGCAUUCAGAACAGGCUUUUUUUGCAUGAGAAAAACAAGUUUAAUCCACCCUAAACCAACCCAGUCCUCUCUAAAUUUCCCCAUUCAACUCUGUGACAUAUCCUGUCCUUGGCCUCUUAGUGACAACAGAAAAUACAGUUGAAAGAUAAAACUCUCCCAUCUUCUCAACCUCUGAAGGGGAAAAAAGGAAAAAAAAUGGGUGGAAAAAGCCAGUCAGGUCUGUUUGAACAUUCACUUGAGGUGGAGAAUUAAUCAACUUUAGUGAAUGAUGUUUUCUUUUCAACUCCCCCCAUUCUCUUUUUCUUUUUGAAAUGCUUUUGUUCAAAACGUCAACCACAUCACCGAUUGUAAAUUGCUCUCGGAUGGCUGAGGAAAGUCUGAUUUGAAUGGUUUAUAGUGCUGGGACAGGGACGGGGAUGGGGACGGGGACCGGGGGAUAGAGAGGAUAAAAUAAAGUGUGGGGGUAGGUAGGGUGGGAUGUGAGUGGGGAAAUACCCACCAUGCCCAUGUUUCAUUCAUACUGAGUACAGGGCCGCUCCACGAUCGCUCCCUGGCUCUACUUUCAUUUAAAUGGAAAUCAAUCAUGCCCCGUGAACAAAAGCUUUAGGGCCGAGGUGCUGGCUGGCUUAUUUCUUACUCUGCAUUACAGAGAAAGGCAGGGGUCAGAGGAGAGGGGGAGGUGGACAUUAUGUGCUUCUGCAUGACAGGGCUAUUCAUUUGUUGCGUUAUCAUGAGGGAACAAGGGUUGUUGUGAGUGUGUGUGAAUUACACCCACGAUCAAGUAGUGUUGAAAUAACUGGGUCUGUCUAAACAGCAUGCGCACUGUCUUUCUCCACUCAACCUUACUGCUGUGAUGUCAUCAGCUGGGGAUGGGCUUGGCUCCAGGCUGUACAGAAACACCUGUGUAAUUAGCGCCUCCAUCUCAUUUUGUGUUAUCUGGUUCACUCAAUCAGAAUUGUCCCAAUCUGUUUAAGUUGAUGAAAUUCAAUUAGUAGCUGGUGCUGCUAAUAGUGAGAAACAGAUCCUAAAUGCAUACGGAGUGGUAUGUGUGUGUCUGCACUCUGCAGGUGUUUGUGGGGUUUGAUUGAAGCAUCACAACUAGCCCAGUAAGCCUUUCUUAGAUGUAGUCUAGCUCUGACAGCAUUUCAAAAGGAGAAUAAUUUGACAUACAUUUAAAAGAACUUUCACUUACCCUUUGUUUACUGACCACAGUCAUAUUCAAGAAAGCCUUUUUCCCUACUCAGAAAUAGCAUGAGAAAUACCCUUCACCUGCAAAGCAGAUGUUGUGGUUACGAGUCUGCGACUAGUCUCACUAUAAGAUGAGGUUUGCAUAGAACAGUUUUUCUUGUUCACGAUACAAAGAACAUCUAAGAACCGUUCAAGCAAGCAUGUUGAAUAAGCCAUGAACCAAAUAAAGUGCAGAAAUCCUAAAAGAAUUGGUUUGACCUGUGUAAUGCCCUGUUCAUUCAGCUACACUCGCACAUCUCCGUGGCAUUAUGCUCCUUCAAAGCCACAAAGCAUUGCUAUUGUGAAUGCAUCAAAACUGAUUGUCCUCCAUUUAUUUCUUCCAGGCCUUACGUUGAAAAGGGUAUGAAAUGUUCAAAUAUUGGAAAAAAAUAUUGGAUUUUCAAAAGAGCUCCAUGGGCUUUUUCAGCUGUGCAAAAGUUUCUCUAGGUCAUUUUUCAUCUAAUCUUUAUUUUUUUGUCAAGAGAAAGCACUAUCGAGUUCAGCCAAUCCUUGACACUGUCAGACAUGUCAGUAACUUAUUAUACAAAAGUCCUUACACCACCCCCUCUCCAAAAAAACUGUUGUGCCUUCUGUCUUUUGAUGAAAAUAGGAAAAUGUAUCAACCAGCAGAUUUUGUUUGAUGAGCUUGAUGCAUUUCAGGGAUGAUGCGUCCUCUGCACAGCAAUACGUUAUGCAAAUGUCUUCCAAAAAAUUAUUUUCUUUGACAAGUAGCUUGGUGUAUUAUUAUAUUGUUAUGAAAUGUCCUAUUGUAAACUCAAUAUUCAAAUGAUAAUUUAGUCUUUUAGUUAAGCACACGUCUUCAGCAGUACUCAUAAUCAAUGCUGAUAAACCCUGUACAUUCUGUUUGCUCAGGAUCAUUAACUAUUUGUAACGUACAGCAGCGAAGUGUUUUGACAAUGCUCUAUAUUUCAUCCAUUCCUAUGUCUAUGAAUCUGAGUCUGCUUUAGAAUAACGAGACCUGCACUAAAAGUGUAAUCUUGCUGUUCUACUUGUACUGUAGGUUUCCACAGCCCACACAUUCUCCAAUCAUUCAAUUUGGACUAGCAUUACUUAUGUUCUGUAUAUGGCUCUUCUAUAUCAUGGAUUAUGACUAUUUUUACAUUAAAUGUGUUCUGCUAUGCUUUGUCUCGGCGUGAAUGCUUCACGAUAUGCCAUAUGGACACAGAGCUGGUACACUAUAUGGCAUAAUCCAAAGUUUUGCUCAUUUAAAUUGUAAAUUGUACAAUGAAAAGCCACUAAGAAGCUUAAAAUAACUUUCUACUAAAACAUUUUGUCAGUCUGUUUUCUGAGUAAAGAACAUGCUGGAACUACUGACCAUCUGUUUUCUUUGUGAGUUAUACAAUACAGGAAAGGGAAGCGAACAGGUUUUAUUUUUACAUCCUGAUAACUUUAGGGGUAUUUUGAAGAUUAACAGAUAGUGGAAUGUUUUUCAGGGCCAUUUUAUUCAUGAGGCUUAUUGUAUGAGGCUCGGCCGUUUCUGAGGUAAUGAUUUUAAACGUUUUCAUAGAAACAGCUUGGCUAGAGUUGAGCAGGCUGUUCGAUAGAGGAGGUGGAAACCUGAAUUCAAACAUGACUCAUCUUGUCAUUAUCCAGCCAGACUCGCAAUUAAUUUUAAUUUCAAAGUUGAAUUCGGUAAUGGAAAUAACAUUUAACAAAGACUAACAGGAAAAUAAUGCCCCUAUUCUUCACUUGUCAGCGUGACUCAUUUGUCCAUGGUUUAUUCUGGAGUUUUUUACAUUUAUUUUUUAUUUUCUCUCCACCUCUCUGUUCUGUUAUAAGGACAAUCAUGUGGCCAGUGACACUUUAAUUCUUGAAAGUCCAAUAUCUUGAAAACUUGACUGUUGACAUGCAAAACAUUUUGGAUCUGUAUUAACAGUGCAUUAAUGAAAAAAAUACCCAAAUAUAGUUUGAGUCGAAUUUCCAUUUAAAGGUAGAACAGAGAAGCUUCUCAGACACCUAUGUCUGUAUUGUGCCUUUGGCAUGUAGUAUUGGCAAUUCCCUACCCGGAACCAGAGGGACUGUUCGGUUAGAUGAGGCUGUCAGAGGCAUGAUGGACCUCCAUAAUAUCUGUGGAAAUGAGACCAUGAACAGGACAUGUAUGUGAUUUAUUAGAGAAAAUGUCAUCCACGUUGGUGACAAAUCUACAGAUAAAAUCUACAUGAAAAUCUGUGAAAAGCUAGGCAUGGAAUUUGCUGUCUCUGUGAUAUGAGAAAAAA